UACGUAGGGGGCAAGCGUUGUCCGGAUUUAUUGGGCGUAAAGAGCGUGUAGGCGGCCAGGUAGGUCUGCUGUGAAAACUCGAGGCUUAACCUCGAGCUGUCGGCGGAAACCAUCUGGCUAGAGUCCGGAAGAGGAGAAUGGAAUUCCCGGUGUAGCGGUGAAAUGCGCAGAUAUCGGGAAGAACACCAAAGGCGAAGGCAGCAUCCUGGGAAGCACCUGACGCUCAGAUGCGAAAGCCAGGGGAGCGAACGGG
rnacentral:rRNA from 1 species